GACGAACGCUGGCGGCGUGCCUAAUACAUGCAAGUCGAGCGGAUCUCUUCGGAGGUCAGCGGCGGACGGGUAAGUAACACGUGGGCAACCUGCCUGUAAGACUGGGAUAACACCGGGAAACCGGUGCUAAUACCGGAUAAUCCUUUUCCUCACAUGAGGGGGAGCUGAAAGACGGUUUCGGCUGUCACUUACAGAUGGGCCCGCGGCGCAUUAGCUAGUUGGUGGGGUAACGGCCCACCAAGGCGACGAUGCGUAGCCGACCUGAGAGGGUGACAGGCGACACUGGGACUGAGCCACGGCCCAGACUCCUACGGGAGGCAGCAGUAGGGAAUCUUCCGCAAUGGACGAAAGUCUGACGGAGCAACGCCGCGUGAGCGAAGAAGGCCUUCGGGUCGUAAAGCUCUGUUGUCAGGGAAGAACACGUACCGGAGUAACUGCCGGUACCUUGACGGUACCUGACCAGAAAGCCACGGCUAACUACGUGCCAGCCGCCGCCGUAAAAC
rnacentral:rRNA from 1 species